AUUGAACGCUGGCGGCAUGCCUUACACAUGCAAGUCGAACGGCAGCAUGGAGAGCUUGCUCUCUGAUGGCGAGUGGCGAACGGGUGAGUAAUGCAUCGGAACGUACCGUGUAAUGGGGGAUAACGUAGCGAAAGUUACGCUAAUACCGCAUACGACAGGAGGGUGAAAGCAGGGGAUCGCAAGACCUCGCGUUAUACGAGCGGCCGAUGUCAGAUUAGCUAGUUGGUGAGGUAAAGGCUCACCAAGGCGACGAUCUGUAGCGGGUCUGAGAGGAUGAUCCGCCACACUGGGACUGAGACACGGCCCAGACUCCUACGGGAGGCAGCAGUGGGGAAUUUUGGACAAUGGGGGCAACCCUGAUCCAGCCAUGCCGCGUGAGUGAAGAAGGCCUUCGGGUUGUAAAGCUCUUUCGGCCGGGAAGAAAUCGCACAGGCUAAUACUCUGUGUGGAUGACGGUACCGGCAUAAGAAGCACCGGCUAACUACGUGCCAGCCGCCGCCGUAA
rnacentral:rRNA from 1 species